UACGAAGGGGGCUAGCGUUGCUCGGAAUCACUGGGCGUAAAGCGCACGUAGGCGGAUCGUUAAGUCAGGGGUGAAAUCCUGGAGCUCAACUCCAGAACUGCCUUUGAUACUGGCGACCUUGAGUUCGGGAGAGGUGAGUGGAACUGCGAGUGUAGAGGUGAAAUUCGUAGAUAUUCGCAAGAACACCAGUGGCGAAGGCGGCUCACUGGCCCGAUACUGACGCUGAGGCGCGAAAGCGUGGGGAGCAAACAGG
rnacentral:rRNA from 1 species